rnacentral:misc_RNA from 1 species
AUAUGUCCUGAAUGCAUAAACAAAAUCAAAGAUUAUGUAAUUGUAAACCUAGCAAGAACUGCUAGAGCCACUGACCUGUAAAAGCUGGACAGGCACCCUUGAACAAAAGAAAAUUGCACCACAUUCUGCCCUUGAGGAUCUAUCUGUUGCACCUUUUAUUUGUCAAUACAAAGCCAACAAUAUCAUAAUGAGUAAUAACUAAAACUGCUCAUUAUACAUGGGAAAUAAAUCAUUUAACUCUAACACAUCUUAAUGUAGAAUUGAAAGAGGCAAAUUGAGAAACAAGAUU